GGUUGAAUGAAUGGUAAAGUAAAGAGAAUUUUCUCUUCAAACAGUUAUUGAUAAAUACAUUCUAGUGUAUUUUUCAGAUGAAUUUGCUAACUAUAGGCUAAAAUAGGCUACAUGCAUCAUCCUGAUGCAAAGUUUAUCCCAACAUGAUCCCUGUGCAGUAUUAAAUACCCUUUCCCUGACUACUUUUGGGUACAAACCGCCAGAGAUCUACAGCGAUAUCCACCCCCCUUUUCUUAUGAAAUUUGUAUAGUUGUGGUACAUCAAACCGAAGCUCACAUAG
rnacentral:misc_RNA from 1 species